AACGCUGGCGGCGUGCUUAACACAUGCAAGUCGAACGGGGCGAAUUGAAAGCUUGCUUUAACGAGCCUAGUGGCAAACGGGUGAGUAACGCGUAGGCAACCUGCCCUCAGGAUGGGGACAACGGCCCGAAAGGACCGCUAAUACCGAAUGACGUAUCGGGAUCGCAUGAUACUGAUACCAAAGGCGGAGCAAUCCGUCACCUGAGGAUGGGCCUGCGUCUGAUUAGGUAGUUGGUGAGGUAACGGCCCACCAAGCCGACGAUCAGUAGCCGGUCUGAGAGGAUGAACGGCCACAUUGGGACUGAGACACGGCCCAGACUCCUACGGGAGGCAGCAGUGGGGAAUCUUCCGCAAUGGGCGAAAGCCUGACGGAGCAACGCCGCGUGAGUGAAGAAGGUCUUCGGAUCGUAAAGCUCUGUUGUCGGGGACGAAGGGGCGGAUCAGGAAAUGGGUCUGCUUAGACGGUACCUGACGAGGAAGCCACGGCUAACUACGUGCC
rnacentral:rRNA from 1 species